GCCGGGUGUGGUGGCGCACACCUGUAGUCCCAGCCACUUGGUAGGCUGAGACGGGAGAAUUGCUUGAGCCCAGGAGGCCAAAGCUGCAGUAAGCCGUGAUCGCGCCACUGCACUCCAGCCUGGGUGACAGAGUGAGACCCUGUCUCAA
ensembl:misc_RNA Metazoa_SRP Metazoan signal recognition particle RNA